CUCGUAGGCGGUUCGUCGCGUCCGGUGUGAAAGUCCAUCGCUUAACGGUGGAUCUGCGCCGGGUACGGGCGGGCUGGAGUGCGGUAGGGGAGACUGGAAUUCCCGGUGUAACGGUGGAAUGUGUAGAUAUCGGGAAGAACACCGAUGGCGAAGGCAGGUCUCUGGGCCGUCACUGACGCUGAGGAGCGAAAGCGUGGGGAGCGAACA
rnacentral:rRNA from 1 species